UUUCUGUGGUCGUUUAUAUCUCUCAGGGGCUUCACAUCCAAAAAAGAGGAAUACGAUCUCAUCCAACAAGAAAGGAAUUCGAUUCCACCAAAAAUCAACAACCAGUGUGAGAAAUUUCGAUUUUUGGUUCAAUUGCUCGGUUUCCAUCGACGAAUCAAAAUUCGAUUUCUGAAAUUUCGAUUUGAUUUCUCCACAGAAAUCCAUCGACAAAUCAAAAUCGAUUUCUGUCAAAAACUACCGUCAAUUACUGCCACCAAACAUCAACAACCUGUGUUAGAAGUUUCGGUAUGUGGUUCGUUCAUUCAAUUUUCUUAGGAUUUUGGUUUAAUUAAUCCUCUUUCUAACCUUAUGUCUUUUUGAGUGAUGUCUCCGAAUUUCUGUGUGACUAUCCACAUCCCGUCCAAGAAUUGGGAGAUACAAACGACCACAGAAAGGGUUGUAUGAAUUGAGAAACUGAUAUUCGUUGUUUUUUGUGGAAUAAGAUAUUAAGAUUUUGUUAAAGUAGAAGGUUUAAAUAGUAUUUUUGUCCAAACUGACGUGGUGACAAUGUAAAGUCUAGAAGUUUACUGUUUCGAGA